rnacentral:rRNA from 1 species
UACGUAGGGGGCUAGCGUUGUCCGGAUUUAUUGGGCGUAAAGAGCGUGUAGGCGGCCAUGUAGGUCCGGUGUGAAAACUCGAGGCUUAACCUCGAGAUGUCAUCGGAAACCAUUUGGCUAGAGUCCGGAAGAGGAGAGUGGAAUUCCCGGUGUAGUGGUGAAAUGCGUAGAUAUCGGGAGGAACACCAGUGGCGAAGGCGACUUCCUGGCCUGUUCUUGACGCUGAGGCGCGAAAGCUAGGGUAGCAAACGGG